GGCGAACGGGUGAGUAACACGUGAUUAACCUGCCCUUGACUUUGGGAUAACUUCAGGAAACUGGGGCUAAUACCGGAUAGGAGCUCCUGCUGCAUGGUGGGGGUUGGAAAGUUUCGGCGGUUGGGGAUGGACUCGCGGCUUAUCAGCUUGUUGGUGGGGUAGUGGCUUACCAAGGCUUUGACGGGUAGCCGGCCUGAGAGGGUGACCGGCCACCUUGGGACUGAGAUACGGCCCCUACUCCUACGGGAGGCAGCACUGGGGAACAUUGCACAAUGGGCGGAAGUCUGAUGCAGCAACGCCGCGUGCGGGAUGAACGCCUUCGGGUCGUAAAGCUCUGUUGUUAGGGAAGAACAAGUACCGGAGUAACUGCCGGUACCUUGACGGUACCUAACCAGAAAGCCACGGUUAACUACGUGCUAGCAGCCGCGGUAAUACGUAGGUGGCAAGCGCUGUCCGGAAAUUAUUGGGCGUAUAGCGCGCGCAGGCGGUUCUCUUAAGUCUGAUGUGAAAGCCCACGGCUCAAUCGUGGAGGGUCAUUGGAAACUGGGGGACUUUGAGUGCAGAAUACGAAAGCGGAAUUCCUCUCGUAGCGGUGAAAUGCGUAUAGAUGUGGACGAACACCGNGGCGAAAGCGGCUUUCUUGUCUGUUACUGACGCUUAGCCCGAUAGCCUGGGAGCAAACAGAUAGAUACCCUGGUAGUCCACGCGUCAACGAUAACGCUAAGUGUUAAGGGGAUUCCGCCCCUAAUGCUGCCACCUAACGCAAUAAACAACUCACCUGGAAGU
rnacentral:rRNA from 1 species